rnacentral:lncRNA from 1 species
GGUUUUAUAAUGCCGUAUUUGAUGUCCAAGACAAAUAUUAGGCGAUUCCAGGACGGUUCCAUCCGGGCCCACGACGGAAGGCAUGGGCUAUAUCACACAAAAUUUUGGGACUCGCGCAGAUUUCCAGUUUAUUGGCUAUAAAAUGCCAAAAAUAUAAUGUGGUCAUGGCGGUGCGGUGACAAUGGUUUCUUAGGCCGUAUUUGAUGUCCGGGACAAAUAUUUUCUUAGGCGAUUCCAGGAUGGAUCUAUCCGGGCCCAAAGCAGACGUCAUGGCCCGCCAUGACCAGGACAGAUUUCCAGCCAUAAACUCGCGCGAAUUUCCAGUUUGAUGGCUGUAAAAUACCAAAAAAUGUAAUUUGGUCAUGGAGGGGUGGUGACAAUGAUUCUUAGGCCGUAUUUGAUGUUCGGGAAAAAAUUAGACGAUUUCAGGACGGAUCCAUCUGGGCCUACGAUGGAAGGCAUGGGCUAUAGCACACAAAAAUUUGGGACACGCGCGAAUUUCUAGUUUUAUGGCUGUAUAAUGCCAAAAGAUAUAAUUUGGUCAUGGCGGGGCGGUGAAAAUGAUUUUAUUAUGCCGUAUUUGAUGUCCAAAACAAAUAUUAGGCGAUUCUAGGACGGAUCUAUCCGGGCCCAAAUCAGAAGGCAUGGGGGUAUAGCACACAAAAAUUUGGGACUCAUGCGAAUUUCUAGUUUUAUGGCUGUAUAAUGUCAAAAAAUUUAAUUUGGUCAUGGCGGGGCGGUGACAAUGGUUUCUUAGGCCGUAUUUGAUUUCCAAGACAAAUAUUAGGCGAUUCUAGGACGGAUCUAUCCGGGCCCAAAUCAGAAGGCAUGGGGUAUAGCACACAAAAAUUUGGGACUCGCGCGAAUUUCUAGUUUUAUGGUUGUAAAAUGCCAAAAAUGUAAUUUGGUCAUGGUGGGCGGUGAAAAUGGUUUUAUUAUGCCGUAUUUGAUGUCCAAGACAAAUAAUAGAUGAUUCCAGGACGGAACCAUCCGGGCCCUAGCACAUAAAAAUUU